rnacentral:rRNA from 1 species
CCCAGACUCCUACGGGAGGCAGCAGUGGGGGAUAUUGCACAAUGGGGGAAACCCUGAUGCAGCGACGCCGCGUGGGUGAAGAAGCGCCUCGGCGCGUAAAGCCCUGUCAGCAGGGAAGAAAAUGACGGUACCUGAAGAAGAAGCCCCGGCUAACUACGUGCCAGCAGCCCCGGUAAUACGUAGGGGGCAAGCGUUAUCCGGAUUUACUGGGUGUAAAGGGGGCGCAGACGGCGAUGCAAGCCAGGAGUGAAAGCCCGGGGCCCAACCCCGGGACUGCUCUUGGAACUGCGUGGCUGGAGUGCAGGAGGGGCAGGCGGAAUUCCUGGUGUAGCGGUGAAAUGCGUAGAUAUCAGGAGGAACACCGGUGGCGAAGGCGGCCUGCUGGACUGCAACUGACGUUGAGGCCCGAAAGCGUGGGGAGCAAACAGGAUUAGAUACCCUUGUAUG